rnacentral:rRNA from 1 species
UACGGAGGGGGCUAGCGUUGUUCGGAAUUACUGGGCGUAAAGCGCGCGUAGGCGGACCUGCAAGUCGGGGGUGAAAGCCCGAGGCUCAACCUCGGAACUGCCUUCGAUACUGGCGAUCUUGAGUCUGGGAGAGGUGAGUGGAACUCCGAGUGUAGAGGUGAAAUUCGUAGAUAUUCGGAAGAACACCGGUGGCGAAGGCGGCAUCCUGGACCGGUAUUGACGCUGAGGCGCGAAAGCCAGGGGAGCAAACGGG